rfam:Felis catus isolate Cinnamon breed Abyssinian chromosome B2, whole genome shotgun sequence.
GCCUGGGUGGCUCAGUCGGUUGAGUGUCCGACUUCAGCCCGGGUCAUGAUCUCAUGGUUCGUGGGUUCGAGCCCCGCAUUGGGCU